CCAACCCAAUGUGAACGUUACCAAACUGUUGCCUCGGCGGGAUCUCUGCCCCGGGUGCGUCGCAGCCCCGGACCAAGGCGCCCGCCGGAGGACCAACCAAAACUCUUAUUGUAUACCCCCUCGCGGGUUUUUUACUAUCUGAGCCAUCUCGGCGCCCCUCGUGGGCGUUUCGAAAAUGAAUCAAAACUUUCAACAACGGAUCUCUUGGUUCUGGCAUCGAUGAAGAACGCAGCGAAAUGCGAUAAGUAAUGUGAAUUGCAGAAUUCAGUGAAUCAUCGAAUCUUUGAACGCACAUUGCGCCCGCCAGUAUUCUGGCGGGCAUGCCUGUCCGAGCGUCAUUUCAACCCUCGAACCCCUCCGGGGGGUCGGCGUUGGGGAUCGGCCCUUUACGGGGCCGGCCCCGAAAUACAGUGGCGGUCUCGCCGCAGCCUCUCCUGCGCAGUAGUUUGCACACUCGCAUCGGGAGCGCGGCGCGUCCACAGCCGUUAAACACCCCAAACUUCUGAAAUGUUGACCUCGGAUCAGGUAGGAAUACCCGCUGAACUUAAGCAUAUC
rnacentral:sRNA from 1 species